rnacentral:rRNA from 1 species
UAAAACAUAGCGUUAAUGCAUCAGAUCCCAUUAGAACUCCAUUGCUAAGCACACUCAGGCUAGAGUAGUACUGAUAUGGGUGACUACUUGGGAAGUCUUGGUGUUUUAC